AUGUUGGGAUUACAGGCGUGAGCCACCGCGCCAGGCCUAAUUUAUUUUCAUUUUUAGUAAAGACGAGGGCUCACCAUUUUGCCCAGCCUGGUCUCGAACUCCUGAGCUCAAGCGAUGAUUCCCGCCUCUGCCUCCCAAACUGCUAGAAUUAUAGCCUUAGGUUUUGACUCGGUCCAGAUCUUCAGUACGGCCCCGCCUCUGGAGUUGACCACGCCUGUCAUUCUGAUCUCAACCACCUCCUCCCUUCUAAUCCUGUCCCUGAGUUGACUCAGUUGCUUGAGAAUUGACUGCUACCUCCCGCCAACGCUCCUUCUCCGGCCCGCCAGGCAUUCUGAUUACGUCCAUUUUCACUUAUUCCUUAAUUGCUGCUGGAGGAUGUGGUCCGGCUGCGGGGGUCCUCGCGGCGCACCAAGGCGAGACGCUCUGGUGACAAGUAGCGGCGGACACUGCUAAAAGAGAGCACACAGUUGGGGGCAGAGCCUUCGAGGCCAGCAGGCUAGCGCCGUGAGCGAGCGAGAUCCUCCCUGCACCCUCUGCUGCUGGAGCUCAGGCAAACAAACCACCUCUGUCUCCCACGAGGUCUUGGAGAGCCUGGGGGUCCCGGCCUUGUGCUUUACCUGCGCCCGAAGGUCGCCUCCUUCUUGGGAGAGGAUGGGGACGUGGCAUAGCCACCCACGCGCCGCGGGGGUCCCGAGCCAUUAAGGGGCGUCCUGGUGGGAAGGCCUUUCAAGAGCUGACACACUGGAGGGAUGGGGUUAGGGGACAGAAGAGGGUGAGUAUGAGGACCAGGCCCCGGUCCUCCCCAUCCCACCCCUCCAGUCUAACGGGGAUACCCGAGGCAGUGGUGCCUAAGCGCGGAGGCGCCCGGCCCUUGGGGGUGCCCCGCGCGCGUAGCGCUGCUCCCUGUUCUUCGCACGCCCGCAGGCGACGCAGAGCAUCCGCCAGCGCCGCCUUUAGGACCGCCAGCUCGUCUUCCUGUAACUGCAGCCGCUGCUCCAGCGCCGACACGCGGUCGUCCACUUCCAUACCGCUCGUGCCCGACAAAUUGUCAUCUGGAAGACGGGGGAGUGCCGGCUGCAGGGCCACCCAGGAGCUCCAGUGCCCAAGGGGUCCCUCCCGCCUUCCUGGGUCUAAGCGGGGGGCCAGCCACGCCCCUUUCCUGUCCCGCUACCUGGGGCUGGGACACUUGGACAUGGGCCAAGGAAGAGGACUCUGAAGGGGGAAGGAAAUCCCCACAGCUCUCCAACCCAUCCCCACACUCCUCUCUGCCGCAGCGCGCUGGCCGUGUGACCUUGGGGAAGUCCCUUCCCUCUUAUUUUCUAAGAGUCUGUGAACCCAGGAGCCUCUCACUCUGGCUGUAAGAUUCUAUAACUAAGAUGUGACCAGGCGCGGUGGCUCACGCCUGUAACCCCAGCACUUUGGGAGGCCGAGACGGGCGUAUCACGAGGUCAGGAGAUUGAGACCAUCCUGGCCAACAUGGUGAAACCCCGUCUCUACUAAAAUAAAAAUAAAAAAAUAAAAAAAA